GACGAACGCUGGCGGCGUGCUUAACACAUGCAAGUCGAACGGAAAGGCCCUGCUUUUGUGGGGUGCUCGAGUGGCGAACGGGUGAGUAACACGUGAGUAACCUGCCCUUGACUUUGGGAUAACUUCAGGAAGCUGGGGCUAAUACCGGAUAGGAGCUCCUGCUGCAUGGUGGGGGUUGGAAAGUUUCGGCGGUUGGGGAUGGACUCGCGGCUUAUCAGCUUGUUGGUGGGGUAGUGGCUUUCCAAGGCUUUGACGGGUAGCCGGCCUGAGAGGGUGACCGGCCACAUUGGGACUGAGAUACGGCCCAGACUCCUACGGGAGGCAGCAGUGGGGAAUAUUGCACAAUGGGCGGAAGCCUGAUGCAGCAACGCCGCGUGCGGGAUGACGGCCUUCGGGUUGUAAACCGCUUUCGCCUGUGACGAAGCGUGAGUGACGGUAAUGGGUAAAGAAGCACCGGCUAACUACGUG
rnacentral:rRNA from 1 species